UAUUGGAUAUCCUUGGAUAUGCAGGAUACCAAACGGCAGUGAACUUUUCUUCUUCUAUGCAUCUUUCGCUAACUAAAUAGACUGUUUUAGUUGUCGAUUUGUGUUAUACUGUGUAACCAUCAUCUUAACGACCAGAAUGAUUCCCUCCCGGGAAGACGUAGGUUUUUGUAAGUUAUUUUCAAAGCUCAUCUCCAGUACACGACUUUUGGACUAGAGCGUCCUCGACAUGACAAAGCUCUGGAAUGAAUGACCUUACGAAGGCCAUAAAGAUGAUAAGCCCCUGCUGCGCCUUCCAGAAUGAAUUUUCUCAAUCCACCUCUACGUUGACUACCCACCCAUUCUGCAAGGACAAGGAAACAGGAAUCAAUGUCUUAACUGAGUUCCCUGACCGUCAUCCAGGUAUUUCUCUGCUCAUGUGCCGCGGCUCAAUUAGAUGAGCGGACAUGUGCCUCAUUAUUGACCUGUUGUUAGGGUGAAUUCUCGGUCCCCAAACAACGUAGGCAGCCAACGUAAGCCCUGCCACGUUCAGUGGACAGAAUGUCUCCCGAUAUAACGUAGAUCACUUUCAUGUUGCUGUUUUGAGGGCAACUGAAAGCUCUUACCUUUUUUAAAUAUACACACGCGCCUGCGCCUGCACACAAGCAUGCUUUCAACUAAAAAGGUCGUCUCAUGUGACAUGAUCUUUCCCGAACGGCUCUUUUUUCAAAGAAAUUACUCAUGUCAAAGGCCUU